AUUGAACGCUGGCGGCGUGCCUAACACAUGCAAGUCGAACGAUGAUGGAGGAGCUUGCUCUUCCUGAUUAGUGGCGCACGGGUGAGUAACGCAUAGAUAAUGUGCCCCUUAGUUCGGGAUAGCCACUGGAAACGGUGAUUAAUACCGGAUACUCCUUCUUAUCAUAAGAUAAGUCGGGAAAGUUUUUCGCUAAGGGAUCAGUCUAUGUUCCAUCAGUUAGUUGGUGAGGUAACGGCUCACCAAGACAAUGACGGAUAUCUGGUUUGAGAGGAUGAUCAGACACACUGGAACUGAGACACGGUCCAGACUCCUACGGGAGGCAGCAGUGAGGAAUAUUGCACAAUGGAGGAAACUCUGAUGCAGCAACGCCGCGUGGAGGAUGACGCAUUUCGGUGUGUAAACUCCUUUUAUUAGGGAAGAUUAUGACGGUACCUAAUGAAUAAGCACCGGCUAACUCCGUGCCAGCCGCCGCAGUAA
rnacentral:rRNA from 1 species